AUUGAACGCUGGCGGAAUGCUUUACACAUGCAAGUCGAACGGCAGCACGGACUUCGGUCUGGUGGCGAGUGGCGAACGGGUGAGUAAUGUAUCGGAACGUGCCCAGUCGUGGGGGAUAACGUAGUGAAAAUUACGCUAAUACCGCAUACGAUCUAUGGAUGAAAGCGGGGGAUCGCAAGACCUCGCGCAAUUGGAGCGGCCGAUAUCAGAUUAGGUAGUUAGUGGGGUAAAGGCCCACCAAGCAAACGAUCUGUAGCUGGUCUGAGAGGACGAACAGCCACACUGGAACUGAGACACGGUCGAGACUCCUACGGGAGGCAGCAGGGGGGAAUUGUGGACAAUGGGCGAAAGCCUGAUCCAGCCAUUCCGCGUGCAGGAUGAAGGCCCUCGGGUUGUAAACUGCUUUUGUACAGAACGAAAAGGUUUCUACUAAUACUAGGAGCUCAUGACGGUACUGUAAGAAUAAGCACCGGCUAACUACGUGCCAGCCGCCGCAGUAA
rnacentral:rRNA from 1 species